AGGGCACCACCAGGAGUGGAGCCUGCGGCUUAAUUUGACUCAACACGGGGAAACUUACCCGGCCUGGACACUGGAAGGAUUGACAGAUUGAGAGCUCUUGCUUGAUUCAGUGGGUGGUGGUGCAUGGCCGUUCUUAGUUGGUGGAGCGAUUUGUCUGGUUAAUUCCGAUAACGAACGAGACUCUAGCCUAUUAAAUAGGCUCUCGGCUUUUAAACGCCGGGAGGACUUCUUAGAGGGACAGGUGGCGGUUCAGCCGCACGAAAGAGAGCAAUAACAGGUCUGUGAUGUCCUUUGUUGUCCGGGGCCGCACGCGCGCUACACUGAAGAGAUCAGCGUGCUUUACGUUCCUGCUCCGACCGGAGUGGGGAACCCAGUGAACCUUCUUCGUGAUUGGGAUAGAAGAUUGUAAUUAUUCUUCUUGAACGAGGAAUUCCCAGUAAAUGCGAGUCAUAAGCUCGCGUUGAUUACGUCCCUGCCCUUUGUACACACCGCCCGUCGCUACUACCGAUUGAACGAUUU
rnacentral:rRNA from 1 species